AUUGAACGCUGGCGGCAGGCUUAACACAUGCAAGUCGAGCGGAGAUGAGGUGCUUGCACCUUAUCUUAGCGGCGGACGGGUGAGUAAUGCUUAGGAAUCUGCCUAUUAGUGGGGGACAACAUUCCGAAAGGAAUGCUAAUACCGCAUACGUCCUACGGGAGAAAGCAGGGGAUCUUCGGACCUUACGCUAAUAGAUGAGCCUAAGUCGGAUUAGCUAGUUGGUGGGGUAAAGGCCUACCAAGGCGACGAUCUGUAGCGGGUCUGAGAGGAUGAUCCGCCGCACUGGGACUGAGACACGGCCCAGACUCCUACGGGAGGCAGCAGUGGGGAAUAUUGGACAAUGGGGGGAACCCUGAUCCAGCCAUGCCGCGUGUGUGAAGAAGGCCUUAUGGUUGUAAAGCACUUUAAGCGAGGAGGAGGCUACUGAGACUAAUACUCUUGGAUAGUGGACGUUACUCGCAGAAUAAGCACCGGCUAACUCUGUGCCAGCCGCCGCAGUAA
rnacentral:rRNA from 1 species